rnacentral:rRNA from 1 species
UACAGAGGUCCCGAGCGUUGUUCGGAUUCAUUGGGCGUAAAGGGUGCGUAGGUGGCGCUGUAAGUGGGGUGUGAAAUCCCGGGGCUUAACUCCGGAACUGCAUUCCAUACUGCGGUGCUUGAGGACUGGAGAGGAGGCUGGAAUUUACGGUGUAGCAGUGAAAUGCGUAGAGAUCGUAAGGAAGACCAGUGGCGAAGGCGGGUCUCUGGACAGUUCCUGACACUGAGGCACGAAGGCCAGGGGAGCAAACGGG